UCUCGAUGAGUUGGAAGAGCAACGGGGCUUUAUUGCAGAUGAGUGUGCCUCAUGAACAGAACUUAAGAUUAAGCUCGACUCUCUCCUCAAGCAAGAAGAGAUAAUGUGGAUGCAACGUUCUCGCUCCAAAUGGAUUCACGAGGGUGACAGAAAUACCAAGUUUUUCCACAUCUCUGCCUCAAAUCGCUUGAGAAAAAACCC
rnacentral:lncRNA from 1 species